rnacentral:rRNA from 1 species
GAUGAACGCUGGCGGCGUGCCUAAUACAUGCAAGUCGAGCGAACGGACGAGAAGCUUGCUUCUCUGAUGUUAGCGGCGGACGGGUGAGUAACACGUGGAUAACCUACCUAUAAGACGGGGAUAACUUCGGGAAACCGGAGCUAAUACCGGAUAAUAUUUUGAACCGCAUGGUUCAAAAGUUAAAGACGGUCUUGCUGUAACUUAUAGAUGGAUCCGCGCUGCAUUAGCUAGUUGGUAAGGUAACGGCUUACCAAGGCAACGAUGCAUAGCCGACCUGAGAGGGUGAUCGGCCACACUGGAACUGAGACACGGUCCAGACUCCUACGGGAGGCAGCAGUAGGGAAUCUUGCGCAAUGGGCGAAAGCCUGACGGAGCAAUGCCGCGUGAGUGAUGAAGGCCUUCGGAUCGUAAAACUCUUUUAUUAGGGAAGAACAUCUGUGUAAGUAACUGUGCACAUCUUGACGGUACCUAAUCAGAAAGCAACGGCUAACUACGUG